rnacentral:rRNA from 1 species
CAGUAGCCGCGGUAAUACGGAGGGUGCAAGCGUUAAUCGGAAUUACUGGGCGUAAAGCGCACGCAGGCGGUCUGUCAAGUCAGAUGUGAAAUCCCCGGGCUUAACCUGGGAACUGCAUUUGAAACUGGCAGGCUAGAGUCUUGUAGAGGGGGGUAGAAUUCCAGGUGUAGCGGUGAAAUGCGUAGAGAUCUGGAGGAAUACCGGUGGCGAAGGCGGCCCCCUGGACAAAGACUGACGCUCAGGUGCGAAAGCGUGGGGAGCAAACAGGAUUAGAUACCCGCGUAGUCCCUGUCUCUUUACA